UUACAUUACAUAUGUACGGUCCUUUCUCUACAGGUACUAAUAGGUUUCCAGGUUGUAGGUGUCGUUCUUCAUGUAGCACUAAACACUGUCCUUGCUUCUUAGCUGUGAGGGAGUGUGACCCUGACCUCUGCAGUACUUGUGGGGCAGGUGAUAAUUUUGAGAUGAAGUUCACUACGUGUAAGAACGUGUCCAUACAAAGAGGUCAGAAGAAGCAUCUGCUGAUGACUCCAUCAGAUGUUGCUGGCGGGGCAUCUUCUUAAAAGACGGAGCAGAGAAGAAUGAAUUCAUCAGCAAAUACUGUGGAGAGAUAAUAUCACAAGAUGAAGCUGACAGGAGAGGGAAAGUGUAUGACAAGUACAUGUGUAGCUUUCUCUUUAAUCUUAAUAAUGGUGAGGCAUAUAAUCUAAUUAGUACAUACCAUAGUAACUUACUACUAGAGUAUUGGCAGCUAUG